CUAUUGCAGAUUGAAGCCUCUCUCUCUCUCUCUCUCUCUCUCUCCAGUUUCUCUACGAAACCCUAGCCGCACACAGAGGCUUGUUUUGGGGACGUGGUUUGCUCAGACAAAAGACUUCACCAUUUCGCAUCCCACGCCUCUUGUUCUUCUCUCCCUCUCAGAUCGUCUUCGCACCGCUACACCGCCGCUGUGGACGCCGUGGAAAACUCGUUUCCAGCGUCGGCCAUCGACAUCGCCACCGACUUUCAGGUAACUGCUGCGGAGACCCCAAGCAUAUUCAGCAACAAAAAAAGUGUGGAAAUAGAAUUUCCCAUAAUAAACAGAGACUAGAUCACAAGGCCAAGAGAGACAUGCCCCCUCAGUCUUCAGGUUGUUUACGUGGAAGUUUUGAUGGCAUGAGUGGAGUCGGAAAAAA